GUUUAAUCUUUGUCCGGCAAACCGGGCCUAAGAGGUAUGAUUGGGUUUGGGUGUCUUUGGCUACCGUCUGAUGAAAAACGCACAGAGAAAACAAAGGCUUUGAACCGCCCUGUGUAGUUCUCUAAAAUAGAGAAAGAAAAUCUAAGAAAUACUUCCCGUUGGAACAGGUGAAUCCAGGUGAAUCCAGGUGAAUGGUGAAUCCAGGUGAAUCCAGGUGAAUGGUGAAUCCAGGUGAAUCCAGGUGAAUGGUGAAUCCAGGUGAUUCCAGGUGAAUGGUGAAUCCAGGUGAAUCCAGGUGAAUCCAGGUGAAUCCAGGUGAAUCCAGGUGAAUCCAGGUGAAUGGUGAAUCCAGGUGAAUGGUGAAUCCAGGUGAAUGGUGAAUCCAGGUGAAUGGUGAAUCCAGG
ensembl:lncRNA